UUUACUGUUCCCUGGGAUUGGCUUUGGGCCUUUCCUGCGCAGCUUAGGUGGAAGGCGAAGAAGGCCCCCUUCCGGGGGGGCCCGAGCCAUCAGUGAGAUACCACUCUGGAAGAGUUCGGAUUCUAACCUUGUGUCAGACCCGCGGGCCAAGGGAAAGUCUCAGGUAGACAGUUUCUAUAGGGCGUAGGCCUCCUAAAAGAUAACGGAGGUGUGCAAAGGUUUCCUCGGGCCAGACGGAUAUUGGUCCUCAAGUGCAAAGGCAGAAUUGUACACAAAACCAAUCAUCUCUAUCCUCAGCCGUCCAAUCUACUGAUCCAAUGGCUCGAAACCGCUUUAGGCUUUCAUCCAUUGCAA
rfam:Oryza punctata chromosome 7, whole genome shotgun sequence.